GGCGAACGGGUGAGUAACACGUAGGUAACGUACCCUCUGGUGGGGAAUAACCCAGGGAAACUUGGGCUAAUACCGCAUGUGCCCUUCGGGGUGAAAGACUUCGGUUGCCAGAGGAUCGGCCUGCGGCCCAUUAUUUAAUCCUAGUUGGUAGGGUAACGGCCUACCAAGGGUACGAUGGGUAGCUGGUCUGAGAGGAUGAUCAGCCACACUGGGACUGAGACACGGCCCAGACUCCUACGGGAGGCAGCAGUGGGGAAUAUUGGACAAUGGGCGAAAGCCUGAUCCAGCCACGCCGCGUGAGUGAUGAAGGCCUUCGGGUUGUAAAGCUCUGUCGGGAGGGACGAAGUACUGACGGUACCUCCCAAGAAAGCGCCGGCUAACUCCGUGCCAGCAGCCGCGGUAAUACGGAGGGCGCAAGCGUUGCUCGGAAUCACUGGGCGUAAAGCGAACGCAGGCGGCCAAGUGUGUCGGAUGUGAAAGCCCCGGGCUCAACUCGGGAACUGCAUUCGAAACUGCUUGGAUUGAGUCCGGAAGAGGGUGGUGGAAUUCCUGGUGUAGAGGUGAAAUUCGUUGAUAUCAGGAGGAACACCGGCGGCGAAGGCGGCCACCUGGUCCGGUACUGACGCUCAUGUUCGAAAGCGUGGGUAGCAAACAGGAUUAGAUACCCUGCUAGUCCACGCCGUAAACGAUGUGUGCUAGGUGUUGUAGGUAUUCACCCUUUCAGUGCCGAAGCUAACGCAUUAAGCACACCGCCUGGGAGUACGGUCGCAAGA
rnacentral:rRNA from 1 species